rnacentral:rRNA from 1 species
UGCAGCCGAGCGGUAUAGUUUCUUCGGAAACUAGAGAGCGGCGUACGGGUGCGUAACACGUGUGCAACCUACCUUUAUCAGGGGAAUAGCCUUUCGAAAGGAAGAUUAAUACUCCAUAAUAUAUUGAAUGGCAUCAUUUAAUAUUGAAAACUCCGGUGGAUAGAGAUGGGCACGCGCAAGAUUAGAUAGUUGGUGAGGUAACGGCUCACCAAGUCAAUGAUCUUUAGGGGUCCUGAGAGGGAGAUCCCCCACACUGGUACUGAGACACGGACCAGACUCCUACGGGAGGCAGCAGUGAGGAAUAUUGGACAAUGGGUGAGAGCCUGAUCCAGCCAUCCCGCGUGAAGGAUUAAGGUCCUAUGGAUUGUAAACUUCUUUUGUACAGGGAUAAACCUAGAUACGUGUAUCUAGCUGAAGGUACUGUACGAAUAAGCACCGGCUAACUCCGUGCCAGCAGCCGCGGUAAUACGGAGGGUGCAAGCGUUAUCCGGAUUUAUUGGGUUUAAAGGGUCCGCAGGCGGACCGAUAAGUCAGUGGUGAAAUCUCAUAGCUUAACUAUGAAACUGCCAUUGAUACUGUCGGUCUUGAGUAAAUUAGAGGUAGCUGGAAUAAGUAGUGUAGCGGUGAAAUGCAUAGAUAUUACUUAGAACACCAAUUGCGAAGGCAGGUUACCAUGAUUUAACUGACGCUGAGGGACGAAAGCGUGGGUAGCGAACAGGAUUAGAUACCCUGGUAGUCCACGCCGUAAACGAUGCUAACUCGUUUUUGGGGCGCAAGCCUCAGAGACCAAGCGAAAGUGAUAAGUUAGCCACCUGGGGAGUACGUUCGCAAGAAUGAAACUCAAAGGAAUUGACGGGGGCCCGCACAAGCGGUGGAUU